rnacentral:rRNA from 1 species
UACGUAGGGGGCGAGCGUUGUCCGGAUUUAUUGGGCGUAAAGAGCGUGUAGGCGGCUUGGCAAGUCCGCUGUGAAAACUCGAGGCUCAACCUCGAGAUGUCGGUGGAAACUGCCUCGCUAGAGUCCGGAAGAGGAGAGUGGAAUUCCUGGUGUAGCGGUGAAAUGCGCAGAUAUCAGGAAGAACACCCGUGGCUAAGGCGGCUCUCUAGUACGGUACUGACGCUGAGACGCGAAAGCGUGGGGAGCGAACAGG